UUUAUUUUUAGGUUUUCUAGGUUUUGUUUCCUUAUUUGAUUUUAUUUCAUGGUUCAUUGGGCUUUUUUGGAGAAGUUCUACAUAUCAAGGAAAGUUGUGAUAUCGAGGACGAAGACAAGAACAUGCGUUGGCUCCAAUCUUGGUGGUGCUCGGGAUCCUGCUUCCUUUUCUUUUUGUGAGGAUUGCGAUCUUGAUGCGGGAAUUUGUUAGGGCAUGUUUCUAGGGGAAUCUUUCUGCAUUUGAAAGCAAGGUCUAUUGCAAUUAAGAAUGCACAUGGCAAAUUUCAGAAUCUUAGAUUGUCACAAGAUGGAAGUCUUAUUGGUGUUUUCAGCAUGGAGAAUUCCAAAAUCGAUGAGCAACUGCUUCAAAUGUCUAAGUCAUGGGACAUUGUAGAGGAGUUGUGACUGCUCCAGUUAUGGCACUUGUCAUCAGGUAUCAAAUUCACCAUUCUCAGUUCAAACAAAUCAAGUUCGGCAGAACAUAGAGGUUUUAAGAGAUAGGGUUAAAUAUGUUUUUGGUCCCUCAAGUUUCAGUGAAUUUUGGAAUUAGUCCCUCAUCAAAACUUUAUAUCAAUUUAGUAUUUCAUCUUU